CCUACGGGAGGCAGCAGUGAGGAAUAUUGGUCAAUGGAGGCAACUCUGAACCAGCCAUGCCGCGUGCAGGAUGACUGCCCUAUGGGUUGUAAACUGCUUUUAUGUAGGAAGAAACCUCUCUACGUGUAGAGAGCUGACGGUACUACA
rnacentral:rRNA from 1 species